rnacentral:rRNA from 1 species
GAAGCCGGUCCCAAGGGUAUGGCUGUUCGCCAUUUAAAGUGGUACGCGAGCUGGGUUUAGAACGUCGUGAGACAGUUCGGUCCCUAUCUGCCGUGGACGUUUGAGAUUUGAGAGGGGCUGCUCCUAGUACGAGAGGACCGGAGUGGACGAACCUCUGGUGUUCCGGUUGUCACGCCAGUGGCAUUGCCGGGUAGCUAUGUUCGGAAGAGAUAACCGCUGAAAGCAUCUAAGCGGGAAACUUGCCUCAAGAUGAGAUCUCACUGG